rnacentral:rRNA from 1 species
UACAGAGGGGGCAAGCGUUGUUCGGAAUUACUGGGCGUAAAGGGCGCGUAGGCGGCCUGUUAAGUCGAACGUGAAAUCCCCGGGCUCAACCCGGGAACUGCGUCCGAUACUGGCAGGCUUGAAUCCGGGAGAGGGAUGCGGAAUUCCAGGUGUAGCGGUGAAAUGCGUAGAUAUCUGGAGGAACACCGGUGGCGAAGGCGGCGAUCCUGGAC